CUCCCUGUAGCGCAAUGGAUAGCGCGUUGGACUUCUAUAAUUCAAAGGUCGUAAGUUCGAAUCCUACUUGGGAAA